rnacentral:tRNA from 1 species
CCUUCGAUAGUUCAGUUGGUAGAGCGGAGGACUGUAGAUCCUUAGGUCGCUGGUUCGAAUCCGGCUCGAAGAA